rnacentral:rRNA from 1 species
UACGUAGGGGGCUAGCGUUGCUCGGAAUCACUGGGCGUAAAGCGCACGUAGGCGGCUUUUUAAGUCAGGGGUGAAAUCCUGGAGCUUAACUCCAGAACUGCCUUUGAUACUGAGGAGCUAGAGUCCGGAAGAGGUGAGUGGAACUGCGAGUGUAGAGGUGAAAUUCGUAGAUAUUCGCAAGAACACCAGUGGCGAAGGCGGCUCACUGGUCCGGUACUGACGCUGAGGUGCGAAAGCGUGGGGAGCAAACAGG